GAUAAACGCUGGCGGCGUGCAUGAGACAUGCAAGUCGAACGGACGACCUCGGGCUUGCUCGGGGUCGUUAGUGGCGAACGGCUGAGUAACGCGUGGGUGACCUGCCCGGAAGUGGGGAAUAACUGCCCGAAAGGGUGGCUAAUACCGCAUAUGGCCAUACGUUCGUUCGUAUGACCAAAGCCGCAAGGCGCUUCCGGAGGGGCCUGCGUUCGAUUAGCUCGUUGGUGGGGUAACGGCUCACCAAGGCGACGAUCGAUAGGUGGUCUGAGAGGAUGAUCACCCAGACUGGGACUGAGACACGGCCCAGACUCCUACGGGAGGCAGCAGUCGGGAAUUUUGCUCAAUGGGCGAAAGCCUGAGGCAGCAACGCCGCGUGAGGGAUGAAGGCCUUCGGGUUGUAAACCUCUUUUCCCAGGGACGAUGAUGACGGUACCUGGGGAAUAAGCCACGGCUAACUACGUGCCAGCCGCCGCAGUAAUAC
rnacentral:rRNA from 1 species